rnacentral:rRNA from 1 species
AUUGACCGCUGGCGGCAGGCCUAACCCAUGCAAGUCGCGCGAGCGGCGGACGGGUGAGUAAUGUAUGGGGAUCUGCCUGAUGGAGGGGGCUAACUACUGGAAACGGUAGCUAAUACCGCAUACCAUCAGAGGAACCCAUAUGGGAUUAGCUUGUGGGUGCGGUAACGGCUCACCUAGGCGACGAUCCCUAGCUGGUCUGAGAGGCGGAUCAGCCACACUGGGACUGAGACACGGCCCAGACUCCUACGGGAGGCAGCAGUGGGUAAUAUUGCACAAUGGGCGCGAGCCUGAUGCAGCCAUGCCGCGUGUAUGAAGAAGGCCUUCGGGUUGUAAAGUACUUUCAGUCGGGAGGCGUUGCCGACAGAAGAAGCGCCGGCUAACUCCGUGCCAGCAGCCGCGGUAGUAC